rnacentral:lncRNA from 1 species
UUUGUGAGACUGACAGAGAAUGUGUAUUGAUGUAUCUGCAAAUAUCUUAAAGGCAUCACUUAUCUCUUUACCUUUGAACCUCUGAUGUGUAAGAGGACGGGUUCCAACUCCACAUGCACUGUUUCUGCCCUAUAUAAGACCUUUGCCUCUGCUGUCCGUCCUCGCACAUUCAGAGCAGCACCACUCAGAGCUUAA